UACAGAGGGUGCAAGCGUUGUUCGAAAUUAUUGGGCGUAAAGCGCGCGCAGGCGGUCAACUAAGUCACUUGUGAAAUCUCUGGGCUCAACCCAGAAAAGUCUAGUGAUACUGGUUGACUCGAGUACGAGAGGGGAGAGCGGAAUUCCCAGUGUAGUGGUGAAAUACGUAGAUAUUGGGAGGAACACCGGUGGCGAAGGCGGCUCUCUGGUUCGAUACUGACGCUGAGGCGCGAAAGCGUGGGGAGCAAACAGG
rnacentral:rRNA from 1 species